GUUAAAAGCUCGUAGUUGGAUUUCUGUUGAGGACGGCCGGUCCGCACUAUGUGCGUGUAUCUGGUUCGGCCUUGGCAUCCUCCUGAGGAACGUUCCUGCGCUUGAUUGCGUGGGGCGGUAUUCAAGACUUUUACUUUGAGGAAAUUAGAGUGUUCACGGCAGGCAAGCGCCUUGAAUACAUUAGCAUGGAAUAAUAAUAUAGGAUC
rnacentral:rRNA from 1 species